CUGCAGAAAGCAAAUGCCCGACCCUGGGAACAAGUACAGUUGAGAAUGCCCGACAAACGCCCGGGGGGGGGGGGUGUUGGGCAACCAUGGAAUUGAUUGAGACAUUAUAUAACUAUAAAAGUAUUCACUAUAGUAUUCAUACAGUUUAAAUGUCUAAUUACAAUAAUUAUAUAUAGUUAAAACAAUACACUAGACAAACACAAAAAUAGAUACGCAUGCAAGGGUGGGUUGUAGCGAAGUAGUUGUAGUUCGCUACUGUAGCGAACUACAAUUUUCAAGUAGCCAGUAGUUUUUGACUACUUUUUUAAAACAGUAGUUGUAGUUAUAGCGAACUACAUUUUGCCUAAAAGUAGCCAAGUAGUUGACUACUUUUCAAACAGCGAAUCGCUAUUCGCUACUUUUUAAAAUUGUUAGCAACUUGAUAGAAUAGCAUGAUAUUGAGACACGGUUUGCUUAAAAUCAAUACUCAAUAGUCAAUUUGCACUCCUGAACACUGUAGUGCUUACAAAAAUGUUGCUUUGUGUUUACUGUUGCUACUCGUAAGUCGAUUUGUUAUAGAUGGCCAUAGAUUACAUUGCAGCCUGAGUUAGUAGAUGCUCCAAAUAUAGUAAAACUAAAAAAUAUAGUGGAGCGAAAUAGCGAAAUAGUUCGCUACAUUUUUUAAGCAGUAGCUGUAGUCAGUAGCGAACUACCUUUGUUCAAAAGUAGCAGUAGUUGUAGCUGACUACAUAUUUUUGAAGUAGCUGUAGUUAUAGCGAACUACAAAAAUUUUGUAGUCAACCCACCCUUGUACGCAUGCAUACAGCUAGACAGCGAAAUAUUACUCGUUAGAACAAAAUCAAUGUAAAUAUUAUAAGGCACUAACGAAAGCAUCGAGAAGGCAGCCAUAUAUUUUAAGUGUUCGAGUAUUUGCAACAAAUAACGUUCCAAGAUGAAGACAGUAUCAGGGUCACAGUUAUAUACAGUUAGUAUAGGUAAUCACACGGGAAGGAGUGCAAUUAAUGAUUAAUUAACACUACGAGUGAUAUUUGAAAAAUGUGCCAAAAUUGCACGAGCCGCCGAGGCGAGUGCAAUUUGGCACAUUUUUCAAAUAUCACGAGUAGUGUUAAUCAUUAAUUGCACGACUUGCCAGUGUGAUUGUUUAUUUAUUAUAUGCAUGACAAAAUCGCUUUCUUUAUAUUUCAACUGCAUUUUGUCAAGACUUUUUAAUUCUUUUGUAAGCAAUUUGGUAUAAACAAACUUGGGAAAUGAUUAUAAACUCAUAAAGGCACAUAACUUAAACUAGAACACAAGAUUCAAACUCAAACAACAUAUUUUAGACUAAGAAAAUCUUUAUAAAUUGCAUUUCAAACUUACAUAGUCACGUUUGGCUGCAUCCCGCCAAGAUUAUUUCUUAAAAUUGUUUCCAGGUAUUUUCAACAGGUUCUUUUUGCCAUAUAAUGUUUUUUAAACUUAUUCUUGUGCCAAAAUUCAGUUAAAUUCGUCCACAUUUGUUAGAAAUACUUAUCUAAAUUUCGCCGCCAUAUUGGAUUUUGUUAUUUUGAUUUCCUGCUCCCCCCAGCCAUCACGAAAAUCAUUAAUUGCACUCCUGGAGGGUUAGAUGGAAAACACGGAGUCGGAGUUCUGGAGUCGGAGCCCCGGAGUCGGAGUCCCGGAGUCUGACGUCAUAAAAAUAUGGAAAACACGGAGUCAUAUGGAAAACACGGAGUCUGACGUCAGAGAAAAAUAUGGAAAACACGGAGUCAUAUGGAAAACACGGAGUCUGACGUCAUAAAAAUAUGGAAAACACGGAGUCAUAUGCAGUGCUCUCACUUUUAAGGAAUUAUCCUUAAAAAUAGGAAUUUUGAAGAGUUUUAAGGAUUUUUUUAAGGAAUUUAGGUUUUUGAGGAUUUUUUUAAGAAAUUUCCAAAACAUUUUAUCCUGGACUAAAAACGUUUUGACGGAGAAUAACCACGCCACGCAAAUGAGAUUUAAACUUGAAAGUAGCAACAUUAUAUGCACAUAAUUACAUAUAUUCGUAUGUUCUCUAUGUCGUAAAUGUACAUAUGGCUGUCUUUCCAUUAAAAUUCUCAAAAGUUAAAUGUCAGUGUAUGCU